rnacentral:rRNA from 1 species
GACGUAGGGCGCGAGCGUUGUCCGGAUUUAUUGGGCGUAAAGAGCUCGUAGGCGGUUCGAUAAGUCGGGUGUGAAAACUCUGGGCUCAACUCAGAGACGCCACCCGAUACUGUUGUGACUUGAGUCCGGUAGGGGAGUAUGGAAUUCCCGGUGUAGCGGUGAAAUGCGCAGAUAUCGGGAGGAACACCAGUGGCGAAGGCGGUACUCUGGGCCGGAACUGACGCUGAGGAGCGAAAGCGUGGGUAGCGAACAGG